GAUGUCUAUAUCGAGACUGAUUCAAGAAAUGAAAUUUAUAUUCAAAUAGAUUCAUCGAACCAUGAUGUUAUUGAUGAUAAUGAUGAUACGGAUGAAAAUCCUUUACAGAACGAAGCAGUUUCUCAAAGGGAUUCCCCAGAGGUAAUCAACCUCAGCUCCCCGGGCGUUUUAACUCAGUUGUUGAACGGAUCAGAAAAUCUAAGCGAAUACCGUAACUGGAGG